rnacentral:rRNA from 1 species
AUUGAACGCUGGCGGCGUGCCUAACACAUGCAAGUCGAACGGCAGCACAGGAGAGCUUGCUCUCUGGGUGGCGAGUGGCGGACGGGUGAGGAAUACAUCGGAAUCUACCUUUUCGUGGGGGAUAACGUAGGGAAACUUACGCUAAUACCGCAUACGACCUACGGGUGAAAGUGGGGGACCGCAAGGCCUCACGCGAUUAG